GCCCAGCUAACUCAAUUGGCAGAGUGCCAGACUUUUACAGAUUAGCCAUGUUCUCAUGUCUAAUUCUAGAAUAAUCUGGCGGUUGAGGGUUCGACCCCCUCGUUGGGCG
rnacentral:tRNA from 1 species